GGUGGAGGCUAAGGAGAUUUAUAAUCUGCCAUCUGCAACCUGGAGACUAAGGAGAGCCAGUGGAAUUGUGCCAGUUGAAGUUCAAAAGCAUGAGAACCAGAAGAACUGAUGAUGUGAACAGAUGCUAAGCUGAAAAAGCAUCCUGUAACACACGCCCACUGGGGCCUCAGGAGGUGUAAACAUUCACCCCGAGAGGCUGCAUGGGUCCGCGCCCAUGGUCCCCAUGACUUGCCUGUUUGCCUGCUCUGGCUAAGGGUCUUGACCAGUGGGGCACUGAAGAAGCGAGCCACACCUCCAUCGUACGCCCUGCGAGGAGGGGUCUCACUCAGUGACCCAGGCUGAAUGCAGUGGAACAAUCAUGGCUUACUGUAGCCUUGACCUUGAGGGCUUAAGCAAUCCUGCCACCUCAGCCUGCCUAGUACUGGGACUACAGAAACAUCAAAUAUAUUCAGCUCCCGUCUCUCUUCAACCAUGUAAAAUUAUUUCAACAACUAUCAGCUAUUGAAGGUGAAACUGGCAUGUCUGUUUGUUCUUCUCUUCCUGGUGUCAAAGACUCUUAAAGCAUGCAUAUAAAAUAUGAAAGUAAAUAAAACGUA
rnacentral:lncRNA from 10 species